rnacentral:rRNA from 1 species
CUCUACGGCUGUGCCACCCUGAACAAGCGUGAUCCUGUCUGAUCUUGGAAGCUAAGCAGGGUCGGACCUAGUUAGUACUUGGAUGGGAGACCACCUAGGAAAGAAGAACAGGUGCUGUAGCCA